rnacentral:lncRNA from 1 species
AAUAAAGAAAGAAAUAAAAAAUAAACCAAAAUAAAAAUAAAAUAAGAAAACAAUAUUAAAGUAAAACAAAAAAAAAUAAAAGAAACAAAAAUACAAUAAAAAAUAUAAAAGGUAAGAUAAUAAAAAAUAAUUAAUCAAAAAUACAAAAAUUGAAAAAAAAUUUUAAUAUAAAUGAAAAAAUAAAAUAAAAUACUAAAAAAAUAACAAUUAAAAAUAAACAAAAACAAAAAGUAAAAAAGUAAGAAAAUAAAAAAUUAGAGA